CACACGUAUAUAUAUGUGUCUACACACACAUAUGUAUGUAUGUAUGUAUGUAUGUAUGUAUGUAUGAAUGAAUGAAUGAAUGAAUGAAUGAAUGAACUCAGGGAUGGGUACCCAUAUGAAGAAGUUUGUGGUCUUGGUUCUGAUGAGUGUUUCCUUCUCCUUUUUACCCUCCCAAGUUGGUGAUGCCUGCACUUUCUUUUCUCUGCUAUCAUUUUGUCCAUUUUUAUUUGUGGUCACAAGUUUAGCAUUUAUGAACAAGGUAUUUGGAACCAUGAAAAAAUCUGGUAAUUUUGUCAAAAAGUUUAGAAAUAGUUCAAAUAACCAAAAAUCAGGAUUUUUUUUUUUUGACGAAAAAAAAUCAGGAAUAUUAUAACAAAACUAAAAAUAUAAGUUUGUUGUCUCUGUGUUUGUUCCUUUUGUCAAUAAAUUAGUGAAAUACCAGAUGGAGGUUUUAUUUGAAGAUAGAAUUUUUAAUGACAGGCACCUUUCUUUGGUUCAGUGAUCGCCAUCUUCUCUUCUCUGCAUGUCCUUUCUAAUGAUAGGCACAGUGACUCCAGAUGGUCUGCUGUUCUUCAGGCAACUGCGUUGCAACUAUUGUUAGAUGGAAAAUGCUGUGCAACCCCAAUUUGGUCUAUAAACUGAGGGGGACCCAUACGUUCCUCAAAUCUUUGACCAGAUGAUAAGGCAUUUCUUUUGCAUUUGUUUGUUGAUGGCACCAAUCCUCUCUUGCGGGAGAAAGAUUCUAAAAUGCCUAACCUUAUCUCCAAAACUUUUCUGUUUUAAUGUUCCUGUGAGGUCCUGCUUGUCUUACAUUGGGUAUGCACUGGGAGGUCUUAAAAGCAGGGUCAAGAACCUUCUGUCUAGCCCAAUUUUUGUGAGCUCUUGGGUCAUUAUAAAUGAUAUUAGAGCUAACCUGGGGUUGUGAUAUUUGUGAUUUUGAGGUCUUAAGCAAGGGCAAUGACUCCAAUUGCCAAUGCAAGAUGUAUCCGAAGAUCAUUUGUUCCUUUGUUGCAGGGGGUAUCUAUUUUUUCUUGUUCUAGUGGCAGAGCAAGCUUUGAUGGUCUGCUUUUCCAUGGGCAACCGCUUGCAGCUGCUGGCUAGUUGAGGCACAAAAGAACUUGCAAUGCCUUAUUUUGUAGAGGCAUAUCUGAGCCUCCUCUUCCCUUGUUUACUUUGUUAAAUCUGUGCUUUAAGUAUUGUUUUUCAGUUUUUAAUUUACCUUUGUUUCACUCUUGUUCCUGUAAAACACUUGGUUUGUUCUUGAAGUCCCUCAAGAACCUAAAUUUUAUCGUGAUGGAUGAAGGCAUGGGGACAUAUAUAUUGCAUUGCUAGAAGCCAGGUUCUAGAAUCCCUAAUGUGUACUAUUAGCUCCACCAGGCUGGGAGACUAUAUCAAGAAAACUACACAGUCCAUUUAAAUGUUACCUUGGCAUCAAGUGAAACGCUGGAUACUCCCUUGGUUAGACAUUUUCUGUGAAUCCAUCCAAAAUUUAAUGGCAUGCGAACUUGAAUGAUAACAUCAAAAGGUAUUUCCCAUGGUUAGAGUCAGUUUUUGAUCUAGGCUUUACCCCUUUUGAAACUAGGGCUGGCAGACGAGCAAGCCAUUGGCAAGGUUAGCUUAAGUUUGGCUUGAAAUUUUGUUAAAUUUCUCUUGCUUGGUUGAGAAACGAGCCAAGCGGAGGGAAGCUUAGCUCGUUCGAGCUCCGCUUUUAUGAGCUGGAAAUGCUAGUGUAUAAAUGAUUUAUUUUAUAUUAUUUAAUUAUAAUUAUAUAAAGUAAUUGUCUUAGUAAUUAAUUUAAUAUAGAUUAUCUAUAAUAGAAUUUAUUCUGACUAUAAGAUUAAAAUAUAAUUGAAAUGAUUGUUCUAAGUUAUAUAUAUACACACACAUACACAUAUGCAUGCACAUAUGUUGGAAGUUUCAAAUAAUCUUAAGCUCUCACUAGUCCUUUAAGCAAGCUGUUCAUGAAGCGCUUGAGCUUGGUUCGAUUAUAAAAUAAGUGGGGUAGAGCCAGGCUUGGCUUUGCUCAUGUCUGGUUCAUUUCCGCCCCUACUUACAUAUAUCUGCAGAGUAUGCCCUUUUGCUUUCCCAUUGGUUCACUCAGCCUUGUUGGUAUGAAUAGAUGUGUGUAUUGUGGAAAAAUAUAUGCAUGAGCUGUGGUUCUCCAAUCCAUUCCCUGCCAAACAGAUAUUUUGCAAAAAUAUAUUGUUUUGUUCAUAAAUAUUUUCUUUUGCACUUCUUCACCAAUAGCUGCUAGGUUCAAGAAAAUCAAAUACUCAUUAUCCUAUUCUGGCUGGUAGAGAUUUGGAAAUUCUUUUGAUUAUUAUUAAGGAAUAUGGAAACCACGUCAGUGCUGUAAUGCUUUCAGAGCUUAUUUUCUGAUGCCUUUUUCAAGAAUUUUAAGCUACCAUGUAGGUAAUGGUUGCAAAUUCAUGUGGAUGAGUACCCAUACAAUAAUUUUUUCUGGUGCUGUCUCUGAGCAAGUUUGACUAUCACCUUACUCUCCAAAUUUGGUGAUGCUAAUUGUUUUAAUGAAAAUUCUGCCGCUACUGCAUCUAUUUGACGCAUGGCAUCACUCUCAACCCUUUUUUCUAGUAAAACCUUUUUUUUUUGUUCAAUUUUUUCCUCAACUAGUGAAUCUCUUAGCUGUGCUCUGAUUGCUGAGAUGAUUAAAAAGAAUGUUCAGAUUUUCACAAACUUUAUAAAUUAAUUUAGUUUUUCUGCACUAUGCAAGAAGACGGCAGUGCUCGCCUCCAAAAUGGGGCAAUCCAACAUGUUGUCCAAAAUCAAGGAGAAUAGGGGAUUUCAUAUUCAAAGUAGAGGAAAAGAAGUAUGUUGCUUUGCCUGAAAGUGGGAGAUGAGGCAGGGAAUCACUAUAUCUAACUUUUUCUUUCUUUGAUGUGCAUUUGUCUCAUUAUUUUCUGCAGGAUUAAUCACUUACUAAUUUUUCCUGAUUUGUUGUAACCCAAAUCUCCUAUGUUAAUAGGACAGUCAUAUUCUGGCAAUGUAGCAUUAGGUACUUCAUGUCUCUGGCAAUUUGUUAUGUCAUUAUUUUUUUGGGUAAAAAAUGUUUGUCAUAAACUGGCUCUCAAGUUUUAGUUGAGGUGGUUGUUGCUUUCCUCUAUGGUAUAUGGCAUCUAUGGAUCUUUCUUUUAAGCCUUACUAUUCUGGCAUUAUAUACAGAUUUGUUGGAAUGUUUGAACAAAUUUCAUGGAAUUUGCAAGAUCUGGCACAUGAAAAAUGAAACCGGUCCAUACUCUAGUAUUUUCUUUUACCCUAAUUUCUAUGAAUUCAAAUUUUUAUACUAAUGAAUGUGAUGUGAAGCUAAAACUAGAAGACUAGAUGGUCGGAAAUGCCAUCUCCAAAAGCAUUCAUUGGUUAAAAACAGGACAUGGUCAUAGGAAUCAUGAGGCUGGAUUGUUCCCUACGUUAUAUAGGAGCUUCACUUGAACAAAGUCUUGGACUACAUAUUUUGAUGGAGUAUAUGAUGUAGACAAAUGAGAUAUGGCUUGAAGACAAAAAGAAUGCAAUGGGAGAUGAGGUUGAAAAAGCAUCUUGGGGUAAGGAUAUUGCAGGACUAGCGCGAGAUGAUUGGAAGAGACAGAUGUCUGUACAUCAAGAUGUCCUCACAGCAGUCAUGCUAUUUCUAUCUUAUUCAAGCACAAUAUUAUGAUUUUUAGAGUAAAGAUUGUUAACAAAUAAAUUUAUUUCAUGUGAAAUGUAUUUAAAGUGAUUUUUUUUUUGCUCCUUUCUAUGAAAUUCCAAGCACUGGAAGUUAUGAUAUUAUCCAUUGACCGGAAAUUGCAGCAAACAUGCUUGAUUGCUUGUUGAUGUAUCAAAUUACGAUAUAAAAA